UGGAGUAGAGAUCCAGCUGGUGGAGCCUGUCUGUUGUAGAAGUUCGUCUGGAAUCCAUCCAUUGUAGGAGUUCGGAUGAAGUCUGGCUUUUGCAGGAGCUCGAAUGAAAUUCGAAAGGUGGUCGACCACCGUAGAAACUUGGAUGGAGUUUGGUUACUGUAGAAGUUCUGCUACUGGAGAAGCUCAAUCAUUAACGAAGUCCAAAAGAAGUUUGGGAUAAAGUCGAUCGUGGCUGGA
rnacentral:lncRNA from 1 species